GAUGAACGCUGGCGGCGUGCCUAAUACAUGCAAGUCGAGCGAAGCGGGGACGGGUGAGUAACACGUGGCUAACCUCCUAUAAGACUGGGAUAACUUCGGGAAACCGGAGCUAAACCGGAUACUUCUCAAUUGAUCCUCGCGUCAUUAGCUAGUUGGUAAGGUAACGGCUUACCAACGCAACGAUGCAUAGCCGACCUGAGAGGGUGAUCGGCCACACUGGAACUGAGACACGGUCCAGACUCCUACGGGAGGCAGCAGUAGGGAAUCUUCCGCAAUGGGCGCAAGCCUGAUGGAGCAAAGCCGCGUGAGUGAUGAAGGGCUUCGGAUCGUAAAACUCUGUUAGUAGGGAAGCGGUACCUAAUCAGAAAGCCACGGCUAACUACGUGCCAGCAGCCGCGGUAAUAC
rnacentral:rRNA from 1 species